UACAGAGGGGGCAAGCGUUGUUCGGAAUUACUGGGCGUAAAGGGCGCGUAGGCGGCCUGCUAAGUCGAACGUGAAAUCCCUGGGCUCAACCCAGGAACUGCGUCCGAUACUGGUUGGCUUGAAUCCGGGAGAGGGAUGUGGAAUUCCAGGUGUAGCGGUGAAAUGCGUAGAUAUCGUGGAGGAACACCGGUGGCGAAGGCGACAUCCUGGACCGGUAUUGACGCUGAGGCGCGAAAGCCAGGGGAGCAAACGGG
rnacentral:rRNA from 1 species